ensembl:lncRNA
GCUUGGUUUGUGACCCAAGAUGUGAUCUAUCCUGGAGAAUAUUCCAUGUGCACUUGAGAAAAAAGUGAAGUCUACUGUUUUUGAAUGAAAUGUCCAAUAGAUAUCAAUUAGGUCCAACUGGUCCAAUGUAUCAUUCGAAACUCAUUUAUCCCUAUUAAUUUUCUGUCUGGAUGAUCUGUCUAUUGGUGUGAAGGAGUGUUAAAGUCCCGCACUAUUAUUGUGUUACUGUCAGUUUCCCCUUUAAUAGUCAUUAGCAUUAGCCUUAUGUAUUGAGGUGCUCCUAUGGUGGGUGCAUAUAUAUUUAGAAUUAUUAUAUCUUAGAUUGAUCCCUUGAUCAUUAUGUAGUGUCCUUCCUUGUCUCUUGUAAUUGUCUUUAUUUCAAAGUCUAUUUUAUCUUAAGUGAGUACUGCUACUCCCUCUUUCUUUUGAUUUCCAUUUGCAUGCAAUAUCUUUUUCCAGCCCCUCAUUUUAAGUCUAUAUGUGUCCCUAUGUCUGAGAUUGUCCUCAUUUCAUUUUAUUCUUUUUUUGUUAUUCUGCUCUGCUUAAGUUUUUCCCACCAUUCCAGCUCACUUAUUCAUUCUUCUGCCUUAAUUAUUCUGCUAUUGGUUCCCUCUAGUGUAUUUUUAAUCUCAUUUAUUGUGUUGUUCAUUGGUGAUUGUCUAUUAUUUAAUUCUUCUGGAUCCUUGUUAAGCAUUUCUUGUAUCUUCUCAAUCCAUGCCUCCAGUCUUUUUACCUGUGCCUCCAUUUUAUUUCCAAAAUUUGGGAUCCUCUUUUAUAUAAUUACUCUGAAUUCUUGUCCAGGUAGACUGCUUAUUUCCUUUUCAUUUGUUUGGUUUUGUUGGUUUUAAUAAUGUUUCUUCAUCUGUUGCAUAUUUCUCUGUCUUUUCAUUUUGUUUAAUUUACUGUGUUUGGGAUCACCUUUCUGCAGGCUAGAAGGUUGUAUUUCCUCUUAAAUAUGGAGUCUGUCCCACAUGGUUGGGUUUUGACCAGUGCCUUGUGAAGGUUUCCUGGUUGGGAGGACUUGUGUCUGUAUUCUGGUGGAUGAGGCUGGAUCUUGUCUCUCUUAAGGGCAGUGCCAUAUCCAGAAGUGUUUCGGGGUGACUAUGGGCUUGGUAUGGCUUUGGACAGCCUUUCUGCUAGUGGGAAGGGUUGUGUUUUGCUAAAGGUUUGGUGAGAGGCAUCCAGCACUGGAGUUGGCUGAUCUUUGAGUGUGCUUGAUCUUGGUGUUGAGGCCUUUGGGAGAGUUCUUGCAGAGUAAUAUUCCAUGGGGUUGGAGUUCUCUGGUAGUUCAAAGUCUUGGACUCAUUUCUCUGACCUCAGGGGUUCAGCCAACCCCUUCCUGAAUCACCAAGACUUCACAGGCACACAGCAUAGAAGACAAAACUUCUAGAUUAAUGGUGAAACAAUGCUCAACAGCCAAGAACAUGCAAAGAGACUCACACAUUUACAAAGAGAAAGGAAAGGAGAGAAAAGAGGAAAAAAAGAUAAAAACAGGAGUCUAAAAAGAGGAGAGCAAUCAAACCAAUAAACAAACCCCUAAGUGAAAUAGAGUACUAAAAACUAGACUAGCAUAAAUACAAAAUAAAAAACGUGAUUAAAAAUGCUUGGUAGCUAAGCAGUACAGUAAAAACAGGAAGAAAUAAA